UAGACUUGAGUGCAGAAGGGGAGAGUGGAAUUCCAUGUGUAGCGGUGAAAUGCGUAGAUAUAUGGAGGAACACCGGUGGAGAAAGCGGCUCUCUGGUCUGUAACUGACGCUGAGGCUCGAAAGCGGGGGGAGCAAACAGGAUUAGAUCCCGUGGUAGUCCACGCCGUAAACGAUGAGUGCUAGGUGUUAGGCCCUUUCCGGGGCUUAGUGCCGCAGCUAACGCAUUAAGCACUCCGCCUGGGGAGUACGCCCGCAAGGUUGAAACUCAAAGGAAUUGACGGGGGCCCGCACAAGCGGUGGAGCAUGUGGUUUAAUUCGAAGCAACGAGAAGAACCUUACCAGGUCUUGACAUCCCGAUGCUAUUCCUAGAGAUAGGAAGUUUUUUCGGAACAUCGGUGACAGGUGGUGCAUGGUUGUUGUCAGCUCGUGUCGUGAGAUGUUGGGUUAAGUCCCGCAACGAGCGCAACCCCUAUUGUUAGUUGCCAUCAUUAAGUUGGGCACUCUAGCGAGACUGCCGGUAAUAAACCGGAGGAAGGUGGGGAUGACGUCAAAUCAUCAUGCCCCUUAUGACCUGGGCUACACACGUGCUACAAUGGUUGGUACAGAGAGUCGCGAGUCGGUGACGGCAAGCAAAUCUCUUAAACCCAAUCUCAGUUCGGAUUGCAGGCUGCAACUCCGCUACAUGAAGUCGGAAUCGCUAGUAAU
rnacentral:rRNA from 1 species